CAAUAUAUGAAAAGAAUUUCAAAAGAUUAAAAGGUUGUCAUGUAUAUCGAUUUUUGUGUUAGUUUUUCACGGUUUAUCUCCUUUUUAAUUUCAAUGACAAAACCAGUACAAAAGGAAAAUCAGAGAGUCAUGGUUUCAGCGAGACGAAGUGGAUCUCUCUUUGGUAAUAAGAGAUCAUUUUCUUUUGAGGAUUAGCCUUCGUCUCCAAAACGGUAAAAGGUGAAAAAAACGAAGAAACCAGUGUCGGUAAGGAGAGUUCCAAAGAAAUGUGAACGCCGCCCGUCAUGGAUCCCGGAGAUUGUGGGAAUGGCGAAGCUUCGAUCACUGGAGAAAACAUGAAUGCCGGGAAGAGCGAGACAUCAUCGGUUGCUGUCGCGGUGGUAACACCGAUACUGAUGGUUAGUUGUUAGUUUUGAGCUCUCCAUGAUUGUCAAAUUUCUUUGCAAUUUGAGUUUCAUUUUAGUGAAUUUGGAUUUACAUUUGAGUUUUGAGAUGCUGUCAUAUCUCAAAUUUUUUUAGUAUCACCUUUAGUGAGGUUUUGGAUUUGUUUUUUAGUUAUUUUCUUUUUUUCCAUACUUUGAUUUAGUUAUUUUGGCUGUCAAAAUUGCAUUAAAAUUUUUAAUUUGUGACAUUUGAUUUGGUGCUAUUGUUUCGUGUAAAAAAUUUUGAAUUUGUUAUUUUCAAUGAUUUUUCUCAGAUUAGAGAUUUAUUAUGUUUGGUGUUUUUGGUUGUGUUUUUGGAAACCUUUUUGUAUUUCUUUAGGAUUAACAGAAACAACCAUCUAUUCUGAAUGGAAAAAAAACUCAGUCUAUAAAAGUUACAACAUUAUAACAUCACCAUUAUUUCCCAUCCCCUAAUUUUUCCAAGUUUGGACUGGAAAAUUUAGGCAUAAAUUAAGAUAGAAGCUCUUUUGAUUACUAGCUCAUUAACUUUUUAUCUUCCACCUAAUAAAGUUUCAAUGUUUUGUCCAAGAAAGGAUUAUUUCAAUCUUUAAGUUUAUAGAGAGAAAGUUUGUAUUUUCUACUUUCAUUGAUAAUAGGAAGUAGUACUUUCAGUAUCCAAGAGCUUUUAUUAUUUUGAACUUCUAAAGAUAUACCAGUGAAGUCAAGAUUGUGAAACAUAUUUGAGGAAAUGUUCACAUGUCCAAGGCAAGGAAAAGGGUGUAUUUCACAGAAGACAGUUUGAAGGAAUUCAUACUUGAGCAGAUCAAAACUACCUAUGAUUUGGCAUAAUUAUAAUAUAGCAAAGCAGGUAAGAGAUAUGAAGAAGCACUAAGAAUCAAAUUAGAUUUCUAUGAAGCUCUUCUAGAUCUUGGACAGCAACAUUUUGAACAGGCAAAACUUUCUUGGUAUUAUGCAAUUGGCAACAAUGUUGAUCUGGAAACAUGGCCUUCUGAAGAGUUCUUGAACCUUUAUAACAAUGCUAAAGAAAAAAUGGACAGAGGCAUGCAGAUGUGGGAGGAGUUAGAAGAGCAACCCCUGAGUGUGCUUUCCAAAUCAAAGAGGGAAAAAAAACAGUUGGAAAAAAUAGGAUCGGAUUGUUUAUUCAAAGAAAUAUAUCAGCAGAUGAAGCUGCAGAGCAAGCUAUCAGCAUGAGUGCUCCAAUAAACCUUUUAUGGGGUACCAUACUUUAUGAACGUUCAAUCAUAGAAUUCAAACAAGGACUACCUAUCUGGCAAGAAAGUUUGGAGAUGGCUAUUGAGAAGUUUGAGCAUUAUGGAGCUUCUCCUACCGAUAUAGCUGUUAUGAUAUAAAACCAUUGCUCAAAUAACAAUGCACUGGAAGGUUUAGGGUUUAAGAUUGACAAGAUACUACAGGCAUUGGAAUGAGAUGUAUGAAGCUAAAAAGUGGCAAAGCAAGAUUCCAUCAUUCCAACUAGAACCAUUACUUAAUCGACGAGUUGCAAAAUUUUAUCAUGCAUUGGAACAUGCAUGAGUUGCAUGUUGUUUUGAGUGGGAUUUCCAGGAAAAUUGGUGGAUGAAAGACAUGCCUAAGUGCUUAAUAUUAUUUGAAGUUGUAUAAGUACUCUUGUUUUUUAGUUUAGUAAACUUAUUUUUUCUUAAGUAUAAUAGCAAUUGACUAUGUGAUAAAAUCUGUUGCAGCCUUUUUCUUUUUUUUUUUACUGCUACAGAAGAU